rnacentral:tRNA from 1 species
GGUGCGGUGGCUGAGUGGUCUAAAGCGACGGUUUGCUAAACCGUUGUACGGGUAACACCGUACCGGGGGUUCGAAUCCCCCCCGCACCG